CUUGAACGCUGGCGGCAGGCCUAACACAUGCAAGUCGAGCGGAGCGGCGGACGGGUGAGUAAUGCCUAGGAAUCUGCCUGGUAGUGGGGGAUAACGUCCGGAAACGGGCGCUAAUACCGCAUACUAUCAGAUGAGCCAUGUUCGGCUUAGCUAGUGGGUGGGGUAAAGGCCUACCAAGGCGACGGUCCGUAACUGGUCUGAGAGGAUGAUCAGUCAGCCUGGAACGGCGACACGGUCCAGUCUCCAACGUGAGGCAGCAUUGGGGAAUAUUGGACGAUGGGCGAAAGCCUGAUCCAGCCAUGCCGCGUGUGUGAAGAAGGUCUUCGGAUUGUAAAGCACUUUAAGUUGGGAGGCGUUACCAACAGAAUAAGCACCGGCUAACUUCGUGCCAGCAGCCGCGGUAAUUC
rnacentral:rRNA from 1 species